AUUAAUAUAACAUUAUAUGAUUAGUAUUAUUGUGAUUUCAAUGCACUUUUUGCUCUUUAGAUUAUUUUAAGACUGUGUCAUAACAUUACUGUGAAUUUUCACUGCAUUUAAAUGAGUUACAAAUCUAGAAAACAAACUUUCAGGUGUCCUGCUGACAUAUAAUGUGUUAGGAAAGCAGACUGCCUGAAGCCUUUUCAGUCAUUUAUGCUUGUCAGUGUAUUAAUUGCUUGCUUUCUUGUCUGUUUCUUUCACCUCAGGCCCCCAGCAAUGACCUUCCACUGAAACUUAUAGAGACAACAGGCUCAACCAAAUCCUCCAAGAGCAUGGAGUCUCGAC
rnacentral:lncRNA from 1 species